CAGCCGUAAACUAUGCGCGUUAGGUGUAUCGGUGACCACGAGUUACCGAGGUGCCGAAGGGAAACCGUGAAACGUGCCGCCUGGGAAGUACGGUCGCAAGGCUGAAACUUAAAGGAAUUGGGCGGGGGAGCACCACAACAGGUGGAGCCUGCGGUUUAAUUGGACUCAACGCCGGACAACUCACCGGGAACGACAGCAAUAUGUAGGCCAGGCUGAAGACCUUGCCUGAAUCGCUGAGAGGAGGUGCAUGGCGUAGACGUCU
rnacentral:rRNA from 1 species